AUACGUAGGGGGCAAGCGUUAUCCGGAUUUACUGGGUGUAAAGGGAGCGUAGACGGAAUGGCAAGUCUGAUGUGAAAGGCCGGGGCUCAACCCCGGGACUGCAUUGGAAACUGUCAGGCUAGAGUGCAGGAGGGGUAAGCGGAAUUCCUAGUGUAGCGGUGAAAUGCGUAGAUAUUAAGAGGAACACCGGUGGCGAAGGCGGCAUACUGGAGGUUAACGGACAUUGAGUGUCGCAAGCAAGGGUGGCGAUCAGAAUUGGAUACCUUGGUAGUCCACGCCUUAAACGAUGAAUACUAGGUGUUGGGUACCAAUAGGGAUUCGGUGGCGCAGCUAACGCAAUAAGUAUUCCACCUGGGGAGUGCGUUCGCAAGAAUGAAACUCAAAGGAAUUGACGGGG
rnacentral:rRNA from 1 species